GACGAACGGGACACAUUGCUGGGUUCUUGAUAGUACUGGCAUAUGGACAUUGUUGUAAUAAUCUUACUCUCAAUGUUCAUCUGUCCGUACUGCCAAGUGCCUGGCCUUACAUUCAUUCAUCCGC
rnacentral:precursor_RNA from 15 species